CAUGCCGUAAACGAUGAGUGCUAGGUGUUGGAGGGUUUCCGCCCUUCAGUGCCGCAGCUAACGCAUUAAGCACUCCGCCUGGGGAGUACGACCGCAAGGUUGAAACUCAAAGGAAUUGACGGGGGCCCGCACAAGCGGUGGAGCAUGUGGUUUAAUUCGAAGCUACGCGAAGAACCUUACCAGGUCUUGACAUACUAUGCAAAUCCUAGAGAUAGGACGUUCCCUUCGGGGACAUGGAUACAGGUGG
rnacentral:rRNA from 1 species